rnacentral:rRNA from 1 species
UACAGAGGUGGCAAGCGUUGUUCGGAAUUACUGGGCGUAAAGGGCGCGUAGGCGGUCUUUUAAGUUCCGUGUGAAAUCCCUCGGCUCAACUGGGGAACGGCACGGGAAACUGGAAGGCUUGAGUUCGGGAGAGGGAAGCGGAAUUCCGGGUGUAGCGGUGAAAUGCGUAGAUAUCUGGAGGAAUACCGGUGGCGAAGGCGGCAUCCUGGACCGGCAUUGACGCUGAGGAGCGAAAGCCAGGGGAGCAAACGGG